GCGCGACAUGUCCAACGAAUGAACCGCUCCUUGCCGUAAGGAACCAGACGUCAAAUAAACAAGGAAUAGUACAAGGAAAGCAUUCAAGGGCAUUGGAUGGAAAUUUACGUGAAAUUUCUAGACUUCCCGUGUAACUGCAUUUAACGCCUUAUAUCGAGCCUCUGCAACGUUAGACCAGACGAGGGGAGGCAACGCAAAGCAAGAACUGAUCACGAGACGCAACACAAGAAGACUCAGGAAAUUCUUUCAGUUGUGGUAAGA